UACGUAGGGUGCAAGCGUUAAUCGGAAUUACUGGGCGUAAAGGGUGCGCAGGCGGUUUUGUAAGCCAGAUGUGAAAUCCCCGGGCUCAACCUGGGAAUGGCAUUUGGGACUGCAAGGCUAGAGUGUGGCAGAGGAGACUGGAAUUCCUGGUGUAGCAGUGAAAUGCGUAGAUAUCAGGAGGAAUACCGAUGGCGAAGGCAGGUCUCUGGGUUAACACUGACGCUCAUGCACGAAAGCGUGGGGAGCAAAC
rnacentral:rRNA from 1 species